rnacentral:sRNA from 1 species
UGCUUCUGUAUGGGCGAGUGUGUGUGUGCUUGUGGAGAGAAAAUUGAGACAUCAGAAUUGAGAGGAGGCUGUCCCUGAGUGGUGGAGUUGUGUCUCAGUGUGAAGUUCCCUGGCGUGAGCCUGUUCAGUGCUCCCCGGGGGCCCCUCAACUGCAUGUUGGGUCCUGCCCUCAUCUGGCCCGCCUCACCUGCCUGCCUUCUUCCCCUGCUCCCCAGGGGGGCGCGCGUUGCCACACGGGUCUGCUUUGGGUUGGCCGGGCAUGCCGGCCUCCUCUGCCCCUGGACUUCUGGAAGUGUACUGUCCCAUCUCUCCUGGGGAAUCUCUAUCCAGUAUAUGCUUUACCUUUUUUGGGAUACUCUUGCUCCCCAGGACUGGACCGCAUGCCCUCAUCUGGGUUCUCAGAACACCCCACACUCUGCCUGCCGCCCACCAGCUCACUGGGCUGUGGUGGCCUCUGUCCCAUGCUCCACAGUGAGCCCUCAGGACUGAGUUAAGUGUGCCUUUAAAAAUUACUUGUCUUGUUCCCAUUUUGAGGGGAAACUUUAGUUUAAAGGACAUUCAUAGGGUCCACCUCCCCAUCAGUUUUUGGGGUGAAACAGACAGUAGACUCCAUUCUUGCUUGCCCUAUUUAGGCAAGCAGGGCCAUUGCCCCUGAUCCCCCAGAGCCCUUCAGACGUGAGCUGAUGUGAGCACUUGCACCAGGAGGAAGCUGGUCCACCUUUGGCCUCCUCCCUGUCUCCCUCUGUGUGGACCACAUACGUAAUUAAGUGCCACACGUUUCCCUUCGCUCCGGGGAGCACAGUUCCUGUGCUGCCUGGUGGGGCGCUGACAGCUGUCAGAGCAAGGUGUCUGGGCUGGUGAAACAAACACACUCCCAAGUUCUCCCCGACAUCCCCCAUAGUGGCCGUUCCCUAGGGCAGUGGCUGUUCCCCAGGGCAGUGGCUGUUCCCAGGGCGGUGGCCGUUCCUCAGGGCAGUGGCCCACAGCUUGUCUUGUUUCUCCAAGCAUUUUGGGGUGUCUUUUUGGGGUCCUUUAGCUUCUGAGGAAUGUCCUCUAAACUUUCCUCACGUAGCCGUCUGUAGGGGAUGCUCGCUCUUGGAUGUCCUGAAUCAUCUGAGAGGCUUUGUCUAAAGACCAGGCUUGGGUUUUCUUUCCCAGACGCUCUCAGUCAGAGUCGCUAAGGGCUGGCCUUUUCAUCUUCACCCUCUCAAGUUCCACAGACUGUCCUGGGAGAUUCAGCCUCCUCAUCCAUAAAAUAACAGAUUUUAACAGGAUUAUCUGUACGCCUCUCCCCCGGGCUCUAAUUAAACCUGUUUCCACCACAAGGCCACCUGCCGUGCACCUCCUGACCCUGGGACUGUCACGAUGAUGGCUAUGCUGGUUCUUUUUCCCUAGUAAUCAGGGAACUGGUUGUUUUGUUCAUUCACUUUGUGGAAAUUUGUUGAGCCACACACUCACUUACAAUUUGUGUUUUUCUGUCUAUGAGUUUGAUGUCAAUCAAAAGUGUCCUUAAAACAAGCAACAAAACAGUGACACUUCCUGGUCUUGUCCCUGGACCUGGGGAGGGACCCUCCCUACUCUGGGAGGCUCUAGGGGGUUAAGGCCCCUCCCUUGGGUCUUAGAAUCCCUGGGCACGAGUGGCCGUGCGGGAGGAAUUGCCACUUCUGGUGUUGGUCUAUUAAAGCAUCCGCUUCUGGCUCCCGUGAGGCCAAUCCAUGAGCCAGGACUGACUGAGUACUUAUCAAAUAUUUUAAAAAGUCAAGGCCGGGCACGGUGGCUCACGCUUGUAAUCCCAGCACUUUGGGAGGCCGAGGCGAGGCGGGCGGAUCACGAGGUCAGGAGAUCGAGACCACGGUGAAACCCUGUCUCUACUAAAAAUACAAAAAAUUAGCUGGGUGUGGUGGUGGGCGCCUGUAGUCCCAGCUACUCAGAGAGGGUGAGGCAGGAGAAUGGUGUGAACCUGGGAGGCGGAGCUUGCAGUGAGCCGAGAUCACGCCACUGCACUCCAACCUGGGCAACAGAGUGAGACACUGUCUCAAAAAGAAAAAAAAAAAAAGUCAAGUAAGCUCUAAUUUGCCUUUUUGUUGUUGUUAGAGAUGGGGUCUCUCUGUUGCUCAUGCUGGAGCGCAGCGAUGUGUGAUCACAGCUCACCGCAGCCUUGAAGUCCUGGGCUCAAGUGAUCCUCUCACCUCAGCUUCUCGAAUAGCUGGGACUACAGGCACACACCAUCAUGCCCAGCUCAUUAUUUUAUUUUAUUUUUGUAGAGACGGGGUCUCACCAAUGUUGCCCAGGCUGGUCUUGAACUCCUGGACUCGAGCGAUCUUCCUUCGGCCUCCCAAAGUGCUGGGAUCACAGGCAUGAGCCACCGUGCCUGGCAUCAGCUCUCAUUUGAAUUAGUCAAGUUUUGAAGAAUCACACUCAUUUUGUCCGAGCUCGGCAGUUCUGUUGUCUCUUACGCUUGGCUUGUCUGUGUCCUCUUUGCCAUUGGUCCUGAUUUCAGUUACUGUUUCCUCUCUCAUUGUAAUAUCACAUAUGCUGCCUAAGAGCUUCCUGGACUAAGGGGAGAUAUGGAUACAUUAAUGCUUUAAAGAAAUUCCCAUCGUUUUUCUGCUUGUCCACGUGUGGGUUCCACUUUCUGUCUGUGUUUUCAGACAGCCCUUCCCGCAUCUCAUGUUUUUUUAAUAUGAAAUGUCACCACAGAAGCAGAAACUUUCCAAGCCACACUUUGCUGGCUGAGGCUGGGCAUGAGCGUUCAGUGCCUGCCGUCUUCUUGCAAUUUACCUUCUCCUGAAGGCCCUGCAGUGCCUGGAACGUGUCAGGGAGAAGACACGCCCUGAUGUGAGCUUACGACACUCAUUAAACAUAGGAAGUUAUGUGCGCCUUUCUCUGCAGGGAUUAAAGAUUUCAUGUGUGAAUUGUGUGGGAAGACAUUCAGCGAGAGGAACACAAUGGAGACCCACAAGCUCAUCCACACAGGUGAGCGGCACGGCCUGAAGGAGCCUUCGGGGCCACACGCGGCAGGCUGCCGGGGCUGUCUGAGCGCCUGCGGGGUGAAAACGACGAUUCUGUUAUCUAGACGGUUCCAGCACAUUUAGUGGUGUCUUGGCUUCAUGGUGGCCCCUUGGCCUCUAAAGGCCAACCCGCCACAGCUUUCAAGUAUCCCUUCUUGAAUUUUCUCAUAUUGGUUCAGUGAUGCAGCUGCCGCCACAGUGCUCCCCAAGAGACAGAGGCUCUGUGCUCCUGUGUGCUCGGGGACCAGCACCGGCCCUCUCAGGGCGGGCAGGGCGUGACAGGCUUCUUGCCUCGUCCAGCAGGCCAGGGUCAUUGGAAUGGCUGCACUAGUGACCUGCGUGUCUCUUCCUUUCCACGCGCAUAUGUGUCUGCGUGUGUGUGAAAAGUGGGCAAGCAGUGGACGUGCUCCGUGUGCGACAAGAAGUACGUGACCGAGUACAUGCUGCAGAAGCACGUUCAGCUCACACACGACAAGGUGGAGGCGCAGAGCUGCCAGCUGUGCGGGACGAAGGUGUCCACCAGGGCCUCCAUGAGCCGACACAUGCGGCGCAAGCACCCCGAGGUGCUCGCGGUGAGGAUCGAUGACCUGGACCACCUCCCGGAGGCCACAACCAUCGACGCCUCCUCCAUCGGCAUCGUCCAGCCUGAGCUGACUCUGGAGCAGGAGGAUUUGGCCGAAGGGAAGCACGGGAAAGCUGCCAAGAGAAGUCACAAGAGAAAGCAGAAGCCAGAAGAGGAGGCGGGCGCUCCGGUGCCUGAGGACGCCACCUUCAGCGAAUACUCAGAGAAAGAGACGGAGUUCACAGGCAGCGUAGGCGACGAGACCAAUUCCGCAGUACAGAGCAUUCAGCAGGUAGUGGUGACCCUGGGUGACCCAAAUGUGACCACACCAUCGAGCUCAGUCGGCUUGACCAACAUCACCGUGACCCCCAUCACCACUGCAGCUGCGACUCAGUUUACCAAUCUCCAGCCGGUGGCCGUGGGGCACCUUACCACCCCUGAACGCCAGUUACAGCUGGACAACUCAAUCCUGACCGUGACCUUUGAUACCGUCAGCGGCUCUGCCAUGUUGCACAACCGCCAAAAUGACGUCCAGAUCCACCCCCAGCCGGAAGCCUCGAACCCACAGUCUGUGGCCCACUUCAUCAAUCUGACGACCCUGGUCAACUCCAUCACACCCCUGGGGAGCCAGCUUAGUGACCAGCACCCGCUCACAUGGCGGGCAGUACCCCAGACUGACGUCUUGCCACCCCCGCAGCCGCAGGCACCCCCACAGCAGGCAGCCCAGCCCCAGGUGCAGGCGGAGCAGCAGCAGCAGAUGUACAGCUACUGAGCUGCGUUCCGGGAGACUCGGGGCAAGAACUGCAGAGGGAUGUUUGGGAUUUGUUUAGAUUUGUUUGCUGGAUACCAAACAAACAAAAAGUCAUACAUUGCAAUGUAAGGUUGACUUAGCUUUGCAGAGUAUCUCCAGAUUCCCUGCCAGCAACCAUUACGGUCUGUCAGCUUAACUCUAGAAGCGACCUCUGGCAGGCCAGAGUUUUAAACUGGAUGGGGUUCCACACUAUGCCUUACCAAGGCAGUAAGUCCUGGGCCGGGGCCACGUCUGCCUCCCCUUACAGAACCAGUGUUUGCCUGACACAGGGUUCGGGAAAAUGAAGCAGAGAGAGAAGCAGGAUCAUAAGAGGCAGCAGAUAAGUUAUUAGGAACACAAAUGGUUCAUUUUCUUUUUUCUUUUGGAGCUUGGUUCCUAUGAGAACACAGACAGUGUUCACAGGUGGCAGCAGGCAGCAGGGAACAUUUUCUCCUCACUUCUGGAUUUUUUUGCAAGCGAGCAGAUAGAAGUUAAAGUAACGUUUAUUCUCUUUGAACUAGGAGUUGAGUUGGUUCUUAUACAACUAUGGGCUGAAACCAUACGUGAGGCGUGCUGAGCCGCCCGCACAUGAUCCUGCAGCCUUCGAGCUCGUCAAGGUCAUCACGUACAAGGGGUCACGUGAGGUCACUGACUCCAGCUCAAAAGGCAUCUUAGUAAUAUCCGUGAAUCGAUUUCCAAUAGAGUUUUUUUCCUUUUUUUUUUUUUUUAACUUUAUUUCAAACAUACAUUAUGUGUUCAAGACUGUUAUGGCCAAUAUGGUAUUUCAGUUUUAUGUUAACAUGAUAAAGUCAUGUGCACUGUAGGACCAUUGGUCCCUGUCCACCCUUCACAGCUGCCCAGAUGCAGAGGGUCGCGCGGCUGUGUGUGAGGAGUGAGCCUCCCUGCUUCCCCCAGCGGCUCCUCCGGGUUGUCUCAGGAUUCUCUGCAAUCCAAAUGUACCAUUCUGGCUGAAGCCCAGCCGGAAUCCCCUGAGUGGAAGAAACGGGGGAAAAUUCAUAUUUUCCUUCUGUUUAAACUUCAAUUCCAAAGGUGCACAGAUGUAUUCAUAAAGGAAGACAUUAGAUCCGCCGUUGUGGCCACCAGGCUCUGUGGACCCAUCUCAGUGGAGAAUUUGUUUUGGACCCGUAGCUCCGUGCAGCUGUGGACUCGAGUGCCAUCCACUGGUGUGAGUCUUGCGGGGAGGCCACAGGAAAACGUUCUGUGUCAAGUGCCGCCUCGCUGUGUCCGGCAUGGGACUGUGCUGGAGGGUCCGGCGUGGAAGGCAGACCUCCUGUACCUCUAUCGUUCCCAUUUGUGGCAUCCAAAGGCGGAAGGCUCAUGGCUUCCCCGCUAGAGGCGGCAUCUUGGGCUUUCCCAUUGGAUUUUGAAAGGCAUUAAGACUGUUUGGAGAGAUGUUGGCUGUAUUUCGUGUCACAUCAGUUUGUAUGAUGAUGAAUAAAAGGUGCUGUGACCCGUGUUUUCAA